AGGAAAUCUGAGAUAACUAAUCUCAGGACAUGCAGUUAAUUAAGAAGUGAACUGGAACAAAGGUCAUGGCUUUCAAAUCAGAAGCUAAUGUGUUGCCAGCUGGAAUGCAUGAAACCCCAUGAUAAACCUGUUUAAGAUUCUAAGGGGCUGAAGAGAAAUGACGUAUCCAGCCCUGAGCACCUUCCGCCACAUCUCUGACAACAGUCAGCUCAAGGCACUCUGACCCCACAGAUGAUUAUCUGUGAAUUUACAAUGCUGUCUACAAAAAGUGCCAGAAAAUUAGCACUUCUGAAUGCCUAUUUUGCAUUCUUCAACUACACUAUUAGAAUUCUUUUGUCAAGAGAAGCAUGCUACAUCAUUGUAUUCAUAUUAAACGCUCUUUGAUUUGUA